rnacentral:snoRNA from 1 species
GGGGUGCGCUCAGAGCAGAGGGCCUUAAGAAUGGCUCCUCUGUUUACAACACACCCAACAGGAAUCUGGGCUUACUCCUCACAGGUGGCAUGAUACUUUGGCCUUCCUGUGACAUCAUGCCCUAUACAUGU